ACCGGUUACUAGGUGGCGCAGUUGGCAGGAGCGCGCGAUGUCAAGCAUGACUAGAAAUCGCAGUUGCGGGUUCGAAUCCCGCCACCGGCA